rnacentral:tRNA from 1 species
CAUUAAGAAGCUUCGAGGACUAAGCAGUAGCAUUUUAAGCUACCAUUCGGUGAUAUCCAACCACCCUUAAUGA